CCUACGGGAGGCAGCAGUCGAGAAUCAUUCACAAUGGGGGAAACCCUGAUGGUGCGACGCCGCGUGGGGGAAUGAAGGUCUUCGGAUUGUAAACCCCUGUCAUGUGGGAGCAAAUUAAAAAGAUAGUACCACAAGAGGAAGAGACGGCUAACUCUGUGCCAGCAGCCGCGGUAAUACAGAGGUCUCAAGCGUUGUUCGGAAUCACUGGGCGUAAGGCGUGCGUAGGCUGUUUCGUAAGUCGUGUGUGAAAGGCGCGGGCUCAACCCGCGGACGGCACAUGAUACUGCGAGACUAGAGUAAUGGAGGGGGAACCGGAAUGCUCGGUGUAGCAGUGAAAUGCGUAGAUAUCGAGAGGAACACUCGUGGCGAAGGCGGGUUCCUGGACAUUAACUGACGCUGAGGCACGAAGGCCAGGGGAGCGAAAGGGAUUAGAUACCCUGGUAGUC
rnacentral:rRNA from 1 species